UCCUGGUGGCUUAGACGGUAAAGUGUCUGCCUGCAAUGCGGGAGACCUGGGUUCGAUCCCUGGGUCGGGAA
rnacentral:tRNA from 1 species